rnacentral:rRNA from 1 species
GAACGAACGCUGGCGGCAUGCCUAACACAUGCAAGUCGAACGAGACCUUCGGGUCUAGUGGCGCACGGGUGCGUAACGCGUGGGAACCUGCCCUUAGGUUCGGAAUAACUCCCCGAAAGGGGUGCUAAUACCGGAUAAUGUCUUCGGACCAAAGAUUUAUCGCCUUUGGAUGGGCCCGCGUUGGAUUAGCUAGUUGGUAGGGUAAAAGCCUACCAAGGCGACGAUCCAUAGCUGGUCUGAGAGGAUGAUCAGCCACACUGGGACUGAGACACGGCCCAGACUCCUACGGGAGGCAGCAGUGGGGAAUAUUGGACAAUGGGCGAAAGCCUGAUCCAGCAAUGCCGCGUGAGUGAUGAAGGCCUUAGGGUUGUAAAGCUCUUUUACCCGGGAUGAUAAUGACAGUACCGGGAGAAUAAGCCCCGGCUAACUCCGUG